rnacentral:rRNA from 1 species
CUACGGGAGGCAGCAGUGGGGAAUAUUGGACAAUGGGCGCAAGCCUGAUCCAGCCAUGCCGCGUGAGUGAUGAAGGCCUUAGGGUUGUAAAGCUCUUUCACCGGUGAAGAUAAUGACGGUAACCGGAGAAGAAGCCCCGGCUAACUUCGUGCCAGCAGCCGCGGUAAUACGAAGGGGGCUAGCGUUGUUCGGAAUUACUGGGCGUAAAGCGCACGUAGGCGGACAUUUAAGUCAGGGGUGAAAUCCCGGGGCUCAACCUCGGAACUGCCUUUGAUACUGGGUGUCUUGAGUAUGGAAGAGGUAAGUGGAAUUGCGAGUGUAGAGGUGAAAUUCGUAGAUAUUCGCAGGAACACCAGUGGCGAAGGCGGCUUACUGGUCCAUUACUGACGCUGAGGUGCGAAAGCGUGGGGAGCAAACAGGAUUAGAUACCCUAGUAGUCC